rnacentral:lncRNA from 1 species
GAUGGGGAGGUGUCUUCGCGGUGCUGAUGUGGAGGUUGAGACCUGGUGGAAUCCAUGUUCUCAGGCGGAGGCUAAGUUGGCGAUUUGCCACUGCAGUUGUGAAUCAGCAUAAGAGAUGGCACACUUUCGGCGUAGGCGCUGAGGGCCUCGCUAGAUCCAGAUGGAUUAUAGGAGCCGCAAUCUCGCUCGCCACUCUGCGGGGGUUGUUAAGGUUGAUGGCAAGCCUCUUCAGAGUGAUGUAGUGGCUUUUUUUUUUGAAAAAGCUCUUAUUCAUUUGUAGUAAGUAAUACAUCGUUUGUGAGGAUUAAAGGCUCCUCAAACCAAUCGGAAGUCAAAGAAAAUCUAGCUGGAAAUCAGGGUGGUGUAGUGGCUAGUCUGGAUGAAUAGGCAGAGGAAAGGCUGACGGGACGAAAUGACCCUCCUUGCUUGAUCAG